GUUUUUAAAUAGCCCCUCAUCACCUACAGAACCCAAUCCCUUCAAAAGAUAACCGUCCAACAGGUUAUGGGCCCAGAACAAAUUUAAAAGGUCUCUAAUAUAUAGCAGUUCCUUACAGCAUUCUGCAGCAGCAAUAUACUCAGCUUCAGUGCUCGAAAGUGCCACAACUGAUUGUUUUCUUGAGCUCCAUGCAAUUGGUCCACCAUUCAUCCAGAUCACAAAACCAGAAGUACUUCGUCUCGUGUCAGGAUCACCAGCGAAAUCAGAAUCACAAAAACCUCUCAAUAUAUUGUCACCUUUACUGUAAUGAAUACCUUUUUCUUUUGAACUUUUAAUAAACCUCAAAAUAUUUUUAA